CACAGCUGUUGAGCACUGACAGAAUCCCACUCAUUUCAUUUGCACAAGCAACUCCAAACACUUCUAUCACACACAUGAAAACUGCUGUAAAGAUCCACCACACACCCACCACACCACUGCUGGCACUAAAAGUGCAAUUUCCUACUGAUCACACAAUGUUUCCCCCCUCAAAUCUAUCAAGUGAAGCUUCCCAUAAAAGUACUUUCUAGCACUGGGUCUCAUCUCCCUUCAGCAAGUUAUGAGUAGGGCAAAAAUGAACAUAUUUCCCACGUAAAUUAAAAUUGUUCUUGUGAUUGCAAUAUUUGUGUCCCCAAGAGAAGAAGAGUGUUUGAGGUGGGUGGAUAAACAAAUAUUCUAAUCACAUUCUUUUGAAUGCUGCAAUUUGAUUUCAACAUCAGUUAAAUUUUUUCUUUUUAAUUUCUCCUCUCAGCUCAGUGGGAACUAUAAAAAAAAAAACAACAAAAACAUGUACUUGUAACUUACUGCUUUUCGAUCUGUUAUGAUUUAUUUGCAUGUUUAUUUUCCUUGCUAUAAUGAUUGGCUUAAUGUAUUUUCCUUUUUUUUUAAUUCCUGUUUUCACCAGGCAUUUCAGGGAUCAGCUCCACUUGAUUUCUAGCUGCUGAGUGAUUAACCCAGGGGGAGUCCAUCUGCAAACCCUACAGCCAGCUGGGUUACAUUCCCUCGUGCUUCCAGCCCCACUGGCUGCAUCUUUACCCUGCUGCCAGGCUGGGUUCCAGCUGCUCAUCUCAGAACCCUGGUGAGAGUGGGGGCAACAUCGAGCAGAAGAGCAAGGUUUGCAAGGUUUGGAAGUGAAGAAAUCCUGAGAAAACUACUAUGAGGAACAUGGGAAUGCAAAUAAGAGCAGAAGUCGAAGAAGAGCAAGACCAAGACUACAGAAAUGAACUGAGACAGAGUCACUCAAAUCAUCACAGGCAAAUGCACAAUCUACAUACAGCCAGCAAACAGCUACUUAAAAAUUUCCAAGUAGCUCUGCUGUAUUUGUGAUUGCCUUCUGCAGCUCAGAACCAUAAAAGUUUUACUCAAAGAGAGGAUCUUCAGAGAAGAGGUUGUGCUUGGAGCUUAUCCUUCAACUUCAGCUGCUUAAAAAGAGAUGCCAAAGGUCACUGAAUCACCCUUAACUUGCUACCUCACCUUAAAGCAAAAGGAUUAUCUAUGGCUUAGCUGAACUCUAGGCAGGGAGCUGACACAGACUGCAAAAGAUCCUGUGCAAAUCCUGUAGGGACAGGUGGGUUCAGAAGCAUUAAACUGUUAAUCCAAUAAAAAGGAAGGGACUACAUUCA
rnacentral:lncRNA from 1 species